rnacentral:rRNA from 1 species
AGUGAGGAAUAUUGGUCAAUGGACGAGAGUCUGAACCAGCCAAAUCGCGUGAAGGAAGACUGCCCUACGGGUUGUAAACUUCUUUUGUACAGGAAUAAAAGACAUUACGUGUAAUGUAUUGCGUGUACUGUACGAAUAAGCAUCGGCUAACUCCGUGCCAGCAGCCGCGGUAAUACGGAGGAUGCGAGCGUUAUCCGGAUUUAUUGGGUUUAAAGGGUGCGCAGGCGGGAUUUUAAGUCAGCGGUGAAAUUUUCAGGCUCAACCUGAACACUGCCGUUGAAACUGGGAUUCUUGAGUAUGGAUGAAGUAGGCGGAAUUCGUUGUGUAGCGGUGACAUGCUUAGAUAUAACGAGGAACUCCGAUUGCGUAGGCAGCUUACUAAGCCAUAACUGACGCUCAAGCACGAAAGCGUGGGGAUCAAACAGGAUUAGAUACCCUGGUAGUCCACGCCGUAAACGAUGAUUACUAGUUGUUUGCGAUAUACCGUAAGUGACUAAGCGAAAGCGAUAAGUAAUCCACCUGGGGAGUACGCCGGCAACGGUGAAACUCAAAGGAAUUGACGGGGGCCCGCACAAGCGGAGGAACAUGUGGUUUAAUUCGAUGAUACGCGAGGAACCUUACCCGGGCUUGAAAUGUACCUGACCGUCCUUGAAAAGGGACUUCUAGCAAUAGCAGGUAUGUAGGUGCUGCAUGGUUGUCGUCAGCUCGUGCCGUGAGGUGUCGGCUUAAGUGCCAUAACGAGCGCAACCCACAUUAUUAGUUACUAACAGGUUAAGCUGAGGACUCUAAUAAGACUGCCGUCGUAAGAUGCGAGGAAGGUGUGGAUGACGUCAAAUCAGCACGGCCCUUACGUCCGGGGCGACACACGUGUUACAAUGGGAGGUACAAAGGGCUGCUACCUGGUGACAGGAUGCUAAUCCCCAAAGCCUCUCCCAGUUUGGAUCGGAGUCUGCAACUCGACUCCGUGAAGCUGGAUUCGCUAGUAAUCGCGCAUCAGCCAUGGCGCGGUGAAUACGUUCCCGGGCCUUGUACACACCGCCCGUCAAGCCAUGGGAGCCGGGGGUAUCUGAAGUGCGUAACCGCAAGGAGCGUCCUAGGGUAAAACUGGUGACUGGGGCU